UGCAAAACUUUCCCACAAGUUUGUAAAAGAAGCAGGACAAUGAUUCAUAUACAGACAACGUGCACUUUAUCCUCUUUCAAUGUGGAACAAUGGACUUCAACGUACUCAUUACAAACUAUUACCAACAACUGCACGUUCAUCACGUUAUCAAUCUGGGCUCGAUCAUGAUGACUAUUAUGAUAUUAUCUGGUUGGUACUCCACCAUACGCGCGGGCUGCAGCUCCUCUGUUU
rnacentral:lncRNA from 1 species